CAGUCGCCACGGGAAUACGUAGGGUGCGAGCGUUAAUCGGAAUUACUGGGCGUAAAGCGUGCGCAGGCGGUUGUGUAAGACAGGUGUGAAAUCCCCGGGCUUAACCUGGGAACUGCGCUUGUGACUGCACAGCUAGAGUAUGGCAGAGGGGGGUGGAAUUCCACGUGUAGCAGUGAAAUGCGUAGAGAUGUGGAGGAACACCGAUGGCGAAGGCAGCCCCCUGGGCCAAUACUGACGCACAUGCACGAAAGCGUGGGGAGCAAACAGGAUUAGAUACCCGCGUAGUCCCUGUCUCUUAUAC
rnacentral:rRNA from 1 species